rnacentral:rRNA from 1 species
UCGCCUCCUAAAAGGUAACGGAGGCGCUCAAAGGUUCCCUCAGAAUGGUUGGAAAUCAUUCAUAGAGUGUAAAGGCAUAAGGGAGCUUGACUGCGAGACCUACAAGUCGAGCAGGGUCGAAAGACGGACUUAGUGAUCCGGUGGUUCCGCAUGGAAGGGCCAUCGCUCAACGGAUAAAAGCUACCCCGGGGAUAACAGGCUUAUCUCCCCCAAGAGUUCACAUCGACGGGGAGGUUUGGCACCUCGAUGUCGGCUCAUCGCAUCCUGGGGCUGUAGUCGGUCCCAAGGGUUGGGCUGUUCGCCCAUUAAAGCGGUACGCGAGCUGGGUUCAGAACGUCGUGAGACAGUUCGGUCCCUAUCCGUCGUGGGCGUAGGAAAUUUGAGAGGAGCUGUCCUUAGUACGAGAGGACCGGGAUGGACAUACCUCUGGUGUACCAGUUGUCGUGCCAACGGCAUAGCUGGGUAGCUAUGUGUGGACGGGAUAAGUGCUGAAAGCAUCUAAGCAUGAAGCCCCCCUCAAGAUGAGAUUUCCCAACUUCGGUUAUAAGAUCCCUCAAAGAUGAUGAGGUUAAUAGGUUCGAGGUGGAAGCAUGGUGACAUGUGGAGCUGACGAAUACUAAUCGAUCGAAGACUUAAUCAA